rnacentral:rRNA from 1 species
CAAAGGUUUGGUCCUGACUUUACUGUCAAUUGCCCCCUAAUUUACACAUGCAAGUCUCCGCCUCCCCGUGAGAAUGCCCUUAAUGUCCUGUCCGGAAUUAAGGAGCAGGUAUCAGGCACAUCAAAUGUUUGCCGCCCACAACGCCUUGCUCAGCCACACCCCUACGGGUAUUCAGCAGUGAUAAAACUUAAGCCAUAAGUGAAAACUUGACUUAGUUAAGGGAAAGAGGGCCGGUAAAACUCGUGCCAGCCACCGCGGUUAUACGAGAGACCCAAAUUGAUAAAAACGGCGUAAAGCGUGGUUAAGAAAACAAAAAGAUACGGCCGAACAGAUUCAAAGCAGUUAUACGCAUUCGAAACAACGAAGAUCAAACACGAAGGUUGCCCUAAAAAACUCUGAUUCCACGAAAGCCAUAAAACAAACUGGGAUUAGAUACCCCACUAUG